AAACUAAAAUUAAUUAAUCACAUCUCUUACUGAUUAAAAAAAAUUAAUCACAUCUCUUUCUUUUUCACUCUCUCUGUCUCCUGCUACCUCUUUCUCUCUCUCAAAAUAUCUCAAAGUCUCAACCCUAAAAUGGAAGAGACGAUCUGUACCAGUGGUUGUUGUUGUUGAGGGUGGGCAUCAGAGUUUGGUGUGGGUGUUCGCCGAUGGCUGGAGACGAGAAGACUGACAUCGACGGUGCCGACUUUGACGGAAUCGACAUCGACAGGAUUAGGGUUUCGAUAGGACCUAAUGGCUAAGAAGAUCGAAGCCCUAAUUUUUUUGUUGAAGCCUAGAUCUUCGUCUUAGUCCAGUACCACCGCUUCUUCAUCUCGUCGAAGGCUAGAUCUUCGUGUCAAUCCACCGG